CACGCUGUAAACGAUGAUCACUCGCUGUUGGCGAUACACUGCCAGUGGCUAAGCGAAAGUGAUAAGUGAUCCACCUGGGGAGUACGAUCGCAAGAUUGAAACUCAAAGGAAUUGACGGGGGCCCGCACAAGCGGAGGAGCAUGUGGUUUAAUUCGAUGAUACGCGAGGAACCUUACCAGGGCUCGAACGCGGGGGGAAUCACGUGGAAACGCGUGAGCCAGCAAUGGCCGCCUGCGAGGUGC
rnacentral:rRNA from 1 species